AUACGGAGGGUGCAAGCGUUACUCGGAAUCACUGGGCGUAAAGCGCGCGCAGGCGGUCUUUUAAGUUGGAUGUGAAAGCCUACGGCUCAACCGUAGAACUGCAUCCAAAACUAUUAGACUAGAGUGUGGGAGAGGAAGAUGGAAUUAGUUGUGUAGGGGUAAAGUCCGUAGAGAUAACUAGGAAUACCAAAAGCGAAGGCAAUCAUCUGGAACACUACUGACGCUGAGGCGCGAAAGCGUGGGGAGCAAACAGGAUUAGAAACCCCGGUAGUCC
rnacentral:rRNA from 1 species